rnacentral:lncRNA from 1 species
AGGAAGACCCUGGCCUCCAUCUUGAAAACGGAAAAUAAAAACAGCAGACCUAUGAAGGUCGAAGGGGAAGAAAAGCUGUAUCGAUUGUUGAGAUCUGGCGACUUGUUUAAAUUUCAUCAGCCUCACUUCUAUGAACUCUCAGGGUCCUCGUAAGGAUUUCCAUUUUAUGUUCUUGUCUUCUCAUCAGUUUGAGUUGUGUCUUUAACAUUGGAGAGAAAAACAACUUGCAAGAUUUUCUUUCAGUAUGAACCAUUCUGAGGUCCUUCAAUUCUUUAGCUGAUUACCAACUCCUACCACUGUUAACCCUCAUCCAGGAAAAAGCUUAUGUCUUUAACAUUCUGAGUGGGCUUCAGCAUCCUUGCAUAUGUUCAAUUCUUAAAAACCUGUUGAAAUAAAAGAUCAGGAGACAUAGGAAGGAUGCCAGAAGAGAGCGUGGCCUCAUGUGUACCAGCUCUCUGCUCUCCUUUGCCUUGGGACGUUCCAUCCCUGGAAGUUUCCCUGCCCACAUCUUUGUAGAGAGUCCAUUCUCCAAGCUUCAGUGUGUCAUCUGUGAGGACUGUGACCAACCUGGUACAUCGCCUCAGGGCAUUCAUUUCAGGCUCCUUCUAAAUGGUCAAGACAAAACACCAACAUUUUUGUAAUGGCCUGCAAGGCCUUCCGAGAUCUGCCUCCUGCAACUCAGCUUCUCCUGUGCUCUCCUUCUGGACUCACUCUGCCUCAGCAACACUGGUCCCUGUUGCCCCACCAAUAUACCAGGUAAACCUCAGGUUCUCCUCCUGCCUUUUGCUAAGUAUAUGUCUUGAUGACAAGCCUUCUGCUGAUGAGCUGUGUUUCUGG